GCGUGAGUGAAGAAGGCCUUCGGGUUGUAAAGCUCUUUCGGCGGGGACGAAAAGGUCCGUGCUAAUACCACGGACUAAUGACGGUACCCGAAGAAGAAGCACCGGCUAACUACGUGCCAGCAGCCGCGGUAAUACGUAGGGUGCGGGCGUUAAUCGGAAUUACUGGGCGUAAAGCGUGCGCAGGCGGUUUGUUAAGACAGAUGUGAAAUCCCCGGGCUUAACCUGGGAACUGCGUUUGUAACUGGCAAGCUAGAGUGUGGCAGAGGGGGGUGGAAUUCCAAGUGUAGCAGUGAAAUGCGU
rnacentral:rRNA from 1 species